rnacentral:lncRNA from 10 species
GUUAAACUAUUGGUAUGUUUAUAGCUAUAACAGAGUUUGCCAUAAGUUCUGUUAAGACAGGUUUUAUUCACUGCUGACUCCCCAGUGCCUAGAACAGUGCCUGGGAUGCAGUAGGUAUUUAAUAAGUAUUUGCUGAUUAAUAGGUUAUGCCUACUAAGGAGUCUAGGCUGGGCACGGUGGCUCACGCCUGUAAUCCCAGCAUUUUGGGAGGCUGAGGCGGGCGGAUCACGAGGUCAGGAGAUUGAGACCAUCCUGGGCAACCAGGCAGAUCAGUUGAGGUCAGGAGUUCAAGACCAGCCUGGCCAACAUAGUGAAACCCUGUCUCUACUAAAAAUACAAAAAUGAGCCAGAUGUGGUGGUAGGCACCUGUAAUCCCAGCUACUCAGGAAGCUGAG